rnacentral:rRNA from 1 species
UACGGAGGGUGCAAGCGUUAGUCGGAAUUAUUGGGCGUAAAGGGUGCGUAGGCGGGGAUGUAAGUCAAACGUGAAAUCCCGAGGCUCAACCUCGGGACGGCAUUUGAAACUGCAUUUCUUGAGGAAAGGCGGAGAAAACGGAAUUCCACAUGUAGCGGUGAAAUGCGUAGAUAUGUGGAAGAACACCUGUGGCGAAAGCGGUUUUCUAGCUUCCUCCUGACGCUGAGGCACGAAAGCAAGGGGAGCAAACAGG